GGGGAGGAAAGGGGAGAGCGCUGUAUCCUGAACACUGGGGAAGGAACGUGCUUCCAGAAAGGAGUGGUCCGCUGUGUCAUGUGCUACUUAGAGGUCAAGUAGAACAAGGAGGGAAGGACCCACUGACUCUGGCAACAUGGAAGUCAUCAGCUGACAUGCUGGCCCCGCGGCUUUCCCGAACGAAAGCAAGUUUCUCAGACGCCCUCGCAGCUAGGCACAGAAAUACGCCUCGUUCCAGCCAACAGGAGAACACAGAGGGUUUUGUGAAAAUAUGCAAGUUCCUAGAGCAGAUUUGCAGUGACAGGAGUGACCCAAGAGAGAAGGCAGGGGCGAUGAUUCUGAAGAAAAGGGGACAGGAGGAGGUCGUGAGCUUGGAGCAAGGAGGAGGAGAGGGUGAAGCCAAGCUAGUGAACUGUGGACUGGGUGAUGCCUCUGGGACACAGCUCCUUUCUGGACCAGUUGGCCACACUGCUGCAGGGCGUGAAGAGGGGGAGGGAAAUGCCCACAGAGCCAGCGUGGCCUCCACUCCGCCCCCAACCAGGCCUCUCUUGCCAGUUACUGAUCACACUCACCUGCCAUUCGCAGCUGCCACGCGAGACCCGCUGAGCUCUACCUGACCCAUUUUGACAGUAAUAUGGGGCGGCCUCAGAGAGCAUCAGGGAUACUCAAAGCAGAGCAGGCCCACUUUAUUUUCCUUUAUUAAAAAAUAAAAAGAUUCGAGACACGCACAGUCCCAACUCAUAAAGGGGCUGUACUGUAACCAGUGACUUAGUUUCGGGGUGAAGCCCAAACGGUCAUUGCCAAGAGUAUAGCUGAAUUGUGGCGCAGACUGCAAGCCUGAGGACUGGGAUUAU
rnacentral:lncRNA from 1 species